UUACGGUCAAAUCACGCUGAAAACACCGGUUCGCGUUCGAUCACCGAAGUUAAGCAUCGUAGAGCCAGGUCAGUACUUAGAUGGGGGACCGCUUGGGAACACCUGGUACUGUAAG